rnacentral:tmRNA from 2 species
GGGGCUUUAACGGUUUCGACGUGGUGGCGAAAGCUGCUCUAUGAUUCAGGUCGAGAGUGAGUCGUCUCUCGAAAAUCAAAGGCUCAAAAAAAUAGAUGCAAACAACAUCGUACCUUUUGCUCGUAAGCAAGCUCCUGUAGCUGCCUAAUAACCUCUAACUGGUUCGAGCGCUUCUAGUCUGACUCCGUUAAAGGCUAGAGGCAACCCCCAACGGAUGCGCUAGCAGUGUUCUCUGAUUGGCUGACUAGCUAAGACUUAAUCAGAGCAUCCUACCGUUCGGGAUAAAGAACGAUCCCCGCCCUGAGGGUAAAAAGGGCUAAACCUGUGAAUGAGUGGGGGGUGAAUACCCAUUGCGGACAUGGGUUCAACUCCCAUAAGCUCCAUAA